AUUAACUCAAGCAGUGCUGGCACACUGAAAACACUCCUUCACUGCAUGUUUGCCAAGUUCAGGGAACACCUACCUCAUUUCAGCUGUUUAUAAGGGCAGGAUCCAGUGGAGCUUUCCUCCCUGCCGUGAGCUCUGCUCACAGACACCUGCAAAGAGUGUGGAGUCCCAUGUUAGAACUGGUGUAACCCUCUCCUAUGCCACACAGUUGAGCUGCUCCAGAGCUUAGUGUCAUUUUUCCUAUGCCGUGGUGACCAUACCCACCCAGUUGCCACUUCACCAUGGCCAGACUGGAGCCGUGGACAGCUCCACCGUCGCCCGACCAACUUGAAUCGUCCCCGGCCAAUCUCACGUGCACACUGUGACCAAGGAAGGUGAUGAGGAGUACUCUAGGGGUUCCUAUGGCUGGAGGGCAUUUCCAGUUCUGGAAGAGGAUUAAUUAAGCUUGUGUAUAAGCUUUGGAGGGUUCCUACCUUUCUGCUAUUGUAAUAAGAUAUGCACUUUGAGUAUAUCAGGACUUGUAAUAAAUGUAACUCUUCCUAUGUGAUAACCUUCAGUUUUAGAAAUAAAAAGAAUAUUUCGUAAA